rnacentral:rRNA from 1 species
GUACUCUCAGUUCAGAUUGUGGGCUGCAACCCCGCCCCACAUGAAGUUGGAGUUGCUAGUAAUCGUAGGUCAGCAUACUACGGUGAAUACGUUCCCGGGCCUUGUACACACCGCCCGUCAAACCAUGAGAGUUGGCAACACCCGAAGUCGGUAGUCUAACCGCAAGGAGGACGCCGCCGAAGGUGGGGUUGAUGAUUAGGGUUAAGUCGUAACAAGGUAGC